AAGAAAUUGCGAUACUCAGGACGGAGUAAAACCUGAGGACCAAAAAUGAACAAAGGGAGCGGGAGUUGGAUGUGGUGAGCAAGCCUCCGGAAUCGAGGAGGAAGCCUGAAGCAUCCACCAAAGCACCCACUUAGACGAAAGAGCUUAAGGGAUUCCGUACCUGGGAUCGCAACCCAUUC
rfam:Nitrospirae bacterium RBG_13_41_22 RBG_13_scaffold_56779, whole genome shotgun sequence.